rnacentral:rRNA from 1 species
GACGAACGCUGGCGGCGUGCUUAACACAUGCAAGUCGAACGGAAAGGCCCUGCUUUUGUGUGGUGCUCGAGUGGCGAACGGGUGAGUAACACGUGAGUAACCUGCCCUUGACUUUGGGAUAACUUCAGGAAACUGGGGCUAAUACCGGAUAGGAGCUCCUGCUGCAUGGUGGGGGUUGGAAAGUUUCGGCGGUUGGGGAUGGACUCGCGGCUUAUCAGCUUGUUGGUGGGGUAGUGGCUUACCAAGGCUUUGACGGGUGGCCGGCCUGAGAGGGUGACCGGCCACAUUGGGACUGAGAUACGGCCCAGACUCCUACGGGAGGCAGCAGUGGGGAAUAUUGCACAAUGGGCGGAAGCCUGAUGCAGCAACGCCGCGUGCGGGAUGACGGCCUUCGGGUUGUAAACCGCUUUCGCCUGUGACGAAGCGUGAGUGACGGUAAUGGGUAAAGAAGCACCGGCUAACUACGUG